rnacentral:lncRNA from 1 species
AUGAAGUGUUUCUCCUCUGUGAUGCCCUCUGCCAUUCUACCUUGCACAGGAGCCAGCCAACUAGGACUGAAACCUCUACAAACUGUGAGCUACACUGAACCUUUCCUCCCUCAACCUUGGGCACUGGUAUUUUGUCUCAGCAACAAGAAGACUAAUGAAGACAUGCCCGUUCCUCCCUGCAGCUUCCCUUCAGGGCCUACAACGAUUGGAGGAUAUGUUUGGAAAACUGAGAAAGCGCCAAGAGAAAGUCCCAAAAGAUCUGCAAAAGAAAAAACUGAAAAAGGAAGAAAUGUUAGAAUAGCAGAGAGGAAAAGUCUGCGUUAUAAAAUGGAAAGAUUCACAGGGGGAAGCUUUAACUUCCAAAGUGCGUGUGGAGACUGAGCCUAUAAAGAGGUUAUCAGGUUCCACAAAGGGCUAAGGGGACAGACCUCACAGAUUAGUGUCUUGUACGUACCCUCUGCCAUGUGCGGACCACCUGAACGCUGUUUGUUAUAAGAGUGCACUACCCAGCAGAAACAGGUCCUGCUAGAAAUGUGUCAUACUGCACUUCCAAGAAAAUAAAUGUGUGCUGGUUAAGACACCCAGGCUAUGUCAUCCUGCUAUGGUAACCAGAGCAAAUUAAAAUAGAGCACAUGAAUAUUUUUU